ensembl:lincRNA
GUACACACACUGGGCAGCAGAAAGAAAGACGCAGGACAUACUGAGGGGUUUCACCUAAAGCUAGACUCCGCGGCCGGUGGAGGAGGCUGCCACCCGACAGGGCCGCGGCCGCUGGGCAAGCUCAGGAGGGCCGGGCACAAGAAGGCAGGGGCCCUGCAGAACAGGCAUGGCAGCAGGCAGGAAGGGGUGAUGACCGAAGUCAGCCCAGCCCUGGGCCCUGGGCCCAAGGCCAUCUUUCAGGAUGGCCCACACACUCAACUGCCCGCAUAAUACUUUGCUUCUGCCCUUCUCUGGGGCCUGGCCCAAGCCCCAGCAAGGGGAAGACACGGGAGACCACAGAACACCUAGGUGGGCGUCCCUCAUGUGUUUCUUUGUCCUCAGUAACUGAAGUCACUAAAAACAUUCCACAGCUAGAAUGCUGUGAGUGUGGCAGUUUGAUAGGCCUGGGUUUACCAGGUGGUCAUAUCCGGAUCUGACCUAUAUUAGAAUCUAGAUCUCCGUGCAUAGAGACAGGUCAUAUCUAUGAUGUGCCCAGUACAGAAAACCAAAAUAUGGAGGGAAUGAAGUUUUAAAGAUCACUAGAGAAGUUUACCGAUACACACAAAGAUCCAAGUGGAAUUGAACGGAGUCCUUCACCCAAAAAAUACCUGCCAGACAUCACAUCUUAGAGUUUACUUCUCAGGUUGAAAGACUUUUUUCUGACCCUGAAAGGCAACCAAAGCACUAAGGAACCAGAAGUCGGCUGUGCAGGUGCCAAUCCAGUCCAUGGGUGAGAGAAAAGCACACCAGGAAGCAGGGUGCAGAGCGCAGCCUAGGAAGCAUCUGCCCACCUGGAUCGGCACCAGCUGCUGCCUGGGCUCCAGCCAGUAAGCAAAAGAUAACAUGGGAGAAAGGAUGGAGACCACCACACACUCAACUGCCCGCGUAAUACUUUGCUUCUGCCCUUCUCUGGGGCCGGGACCUGGGAGCCAGGCCCCUUGGUGCUGGGGCCCCUCCUCCACUUUACUCUACCUUGAGCAGAGGGCAUGGAGGAGGACUGCUUCGGGCAGACCUACUUUCACUCCCAGGUCCCUCCUGUUGGCCUGCAGUGCAUGGUGAGAGUACCCGGAUUAGGAAGAACAGAGAUAAGGACUGUAGCACAACGGCUUUGUUGAACCGCUGCCAACAAGACUGGAAGGGAAGUGUGACGGGCUUGGUGUGUGGCGGCAGCAACACACAGCCAGAUGCCAGGGCAAGCAGUCGGUGGCAACGGCAGACCGGGACACAGGGGCAGACGAGUGCACAGAGAAACCUUACCGUGAAGCCUACUCCUCAUGAUGUCUCACAACCACGGAGCCACGAGCCAUGCCAGGAAACGGAAGAACAAGAAUGGGACAAGAGCCACGUUCAGAUAUGGUGGGCCAGCCACUUCGAAGUUAGAUAGCUAUUUCAUUUAUUACUUCAGUUUCUCUAAUACUGCGAUUGAACCCAGGUCCUGAUGCACGCUAUGCAAAUGCUCUACCAGGGAGCUCUAUCCCAGCUGGAGACAGCUACUUAAAAAACAAGCAACCCCCCAUUAAAUACAGUGUUUAAUUCAGAAUAUGGCUAAAAGAAAGAAAAACACCAAAAUAAAAUUUAAAUAUAUCACUGAAAUUAGCUGUUCUAGCGAACCACUCGAGGUAUUCUAACCUGUUGAAACACUUGCGGGGGCGGGGAAAGGCAAACUCUUAAAAGCCCUGCCAUACGCAACAGCGAAUAGCUUUCUGGACUCGUGAGACCCCACUGAGAGUAGCACACACCUCAGUUUCCCAAGUGGCAGCACUGGUGAAACAGUAAUAAGUUAAGCUGAGGUCAACCAGCAUCGCAUUCCCUGCUUCCGUGGGAAGUGACGCACAAUGUUUGGCAGAGUAGAGAAACAUUUGCUGCACCAACGAGGGCCUCUGGAUGACACUCACUUGUUAGUUUGGAACUGCCCGCAGCUUGCCCCAUGCUCGGGCGUGCCUAGGGCUCCCUCGCCCUCUCCUUCAAAAUGAAUUCAAUCAUCAUGAAUGUCUGUCUGCUACACAUGAAGAAGUCGCUGUAGAGAAUGAAUGGGAUACCACCUUCGAGGACACAGAACCUUCCAUCUACUCUGCGCCUGCACAUAGAAGGGUGCACCACGUAGGCCCACAGUGAGACUCGCAGCCUCCCAUGUACCUGCUUUGGAUGCGCAGGAUGGUGUGCGUGCUCUUCUGUCUCUGCCUUGCUCCAUCGCUGCAGGUGCUAGGGUCUGCACACGUGUCCUAGGACACACGAGUGUGCCCAGGCCAGGCACGGGAUAUAUAUGAAUGAAACUCACCUUGCAGAUUUCUCCCACCCAGUGUAGUCACCUGUAUAAAUGAGAUGCAACCGGGUUUUGUGUUUGC